rnacentral:rRNA from 1 species
ACAGCAGUCGCCACGGGAAUACGUAGGGUGCAAGCGUUAAUCGGAAUUACUGGGCGUAAAGCGUGCGCAGGCGGUUAUAUAAGACAGAUGUGAAAUCCCCGGGCUCAACCUGGGAACUGCAUUUGUGACUGUAUAGCUAGAGUACGGCAGAGGGGGAUGGAAUUCCGCGUGUAGCAGUGAAAUGCGUAGAUAUGCGGAGGAACACCGAUGGCGAAGGCAAUCCCCUGGGCCUGUACUGACGCUCAUGCACGAAAGCGUGGGGAGCAAACAGGAUUAGAUACCCCAGUAGUCCCUGUCUCUUAUAC